UCCCAGACGGCCAUCCCCCAGGCCCAGCCUUGCCCACAAGAUUCCCAGAUUUCACAACUGGGGCUGGCGCUGAAUCAUGUACAGCCGUGGGUAAUUACCUGCCCAGGUUAAUAGCGCCCACUUCCCGCCACCUUUCAUCAAGGCUCCUGGAGCUGCCAGGCAGUAAUUAACCCUCACAGCACCCUUCUGAAGUCAGCACUGGAGGCAGACGUGUGAUGAAACACGUUUAUUACAGGAAGCACCAGUUAGCCCAGAUGCUUCUCAUCUUUGGAGUUGAGCUGCAGGCUGGAGACCUGGAAGGCCCUCGCAGCGCCUGCUCCCAUCCUCUCACCUCACGAAAGCGCAGGAAUGUGGGUUUGGAGCCAAUGAAAAGUACUGGAAUCUGGCUCUGCUCUGUGACCCUGGACAAGUCACUGCCCCUCUCUGGGCUUCAGUUUCCUCCUUGCUCCAUGAGGGCAGGGGAUUUUGUCUGUUUCAUUCACAAUGUGUUCCCAGAGCUCAGCACAGUGUCAGGCACACACUAGGUAACAGCACCUCGACUUCCUACUGAAGAACCCCCUCUUCCCUUUUCUCAGUCCAUGAGGCUGGGGGUGCCCAGAGGCCUCUGUCUCCAGGGGUGGACAUGUGACCGGGUCUUGCUCUAGUGAUUGGUCCAGGGAUGGGCACAUGACUGAGCCUGCCCAAUGAAACUUGAUCUUGGGACUUCAGGGUUGGCCAUGAUUUGUGAAGGAGAUGCCAUUUUCCAUUGGAUGGACAGUGAGCAAGUGAACGCUUAGAGAAGAAGAGGACAAAACAAGGGAAAAGCCUGCCUGACAGGAAGCAGCACAGAGCUGGACAGGCUUUGAACUCCUGGAUCCCACUGUACCUGAAAUUAGGCACCUUCAACUUUCUAGUUAUGUGAGCCACUGUCUUUCCCAUUUUUGGCUGAAAACAGUUGGGACUGGCUUUCUGUCCCUUGCAUACAGAAGGUGCUGACUGACCCCUGCCCCAUGGAAGAAGAUACUCCAGGCAGAGGAAAUAGUGUGUAUAGACACCCCUAAGCGAAUGCCAAGCGGGGCACUCAUGUACCAAGAAGAAGGAGGAGGAGGCACCUGGGAGCUGAGCUUAAGAGUUAGUCGGGUGGUCAAGGUGGGAGAAGGGGGUAUCUUUAGCAGAGGGAACAACCAUUGCAAAAGCUUGGAGGGGUGACUAGUUAGUGAAGAUCAACUGUGUGCUGAGCUCGUGUUGGGUGGCAAGGGACACAGACGAAAAGGGCACGGUGGAACCCAGCUACUUCUCACCUGCUCCAGCGCAGUGCAGGCUUGUCUGCUUUUGGAGCCGAGCCUGGACACCUCCGUGUCCUUCCCCCGGCAGAGUGCUGCCAGCACGCUGUCUCAGACUCUCCAGCAUCUCCUGGUUGAUGUGCAUCAUGGGGACCACACAAGAUUAUUUUAUAGGCUGCACAGGCAAAGCAUAAAAUCACCUCGGGUCACAUAGCGAGAGUUAUUCUCUCUGCAAAUUCUUUACAGUCUUUCCUUUAUAUCCAGAAGAGUCUCUGUGUGGUGCUAACUUGCCUCGAAGACCAAAUAAUUGCUAGUCUCCCUUUGUGAAAAGGAGAGCAGGUGUCAGGCUCAUUCAUGUCUCAGGCACACAAUUGUAUCUAGCUAGACUUUUCAAAAUGUCCUAUAGAGCUGCAGCACAUAUGAAUGAGGUGUCCAGCUGGUCCCAAACCUGUAAUCGGCACCCCAGUGAGCAGACUGGACAUCCCCACCCCCACAGCUGCCCUUUCUCCCCUCCACUCAUGUUCCCUCUAGGGCCACCACGAUCCCGACUUGUAUCACCACAGAUGAGUUUCACAUGUUUUUGAAUUUUACAUCUUAUCUGUUUUCUGUUCCUAUACAAGUUUGCCUUUUUUGAAUUCCAUAUAAGUGGGAUUCUACAAUGUGUUAUCUCAAUUUGAGUCUGUUUUUUUUUUCCUGCUCAGCAUGAUGUUUUUGAGAUGCAUAUAUGCGGUUUUGUGUAUCUGUAGAUGGUUCUUUUUUAUUGCAGAAUAAUGUUCCAGGGUAUGGAUGUACCAAAGCUUGUUCAUCCAUUCACCAGCUGAGGGAUAUUUGGACUGUUUCCAGUUUUCAGCCAUUAUAAAUAAAGCCACUAGAAACAUUUGCAAACA
ensembl:lncRNA LINC01270 long intergenic non-protein coding RNA 1270